rnacentral:rRNA from 1 species
CCCUUAGAUGUUCUGGGCUGCACGCGCGCUACACUGAUGCGUUCAACGAGUUUAUCACCUUGCCCGAUAGGGUUGGGUAAUCUUUUGAAAAUGCAUCGUGAUGGGGAUAGAUUAUUGCAAUUAUUAAUCUUCAACGAGGAAUUCCUAGUAAGCGCGAGUCAUCAGCUCGUGCUGAUUACGUCCCUGCCCUUUGUACACACCGCCCGUCGCUCCUACCGAUUGAGUGCUCAGGUGAAUAAUUCGGACUGCAGCAAUGUUUGGAUCCCGAACGUUGCAGCGGAAAGUUUAGUGAACCUUAUCACUUAGAGGAAGGAGAAGUCGUAACA